ACCAGCAAUCACAUCACGGCGGUAACAUCGUGUUAGUAUACGUAUAUAUUAAUGUACAAAUGUACAUACAUAUAUUAGAAGCCAAUAUCGCCUCUGUGUCAGACACGGCUGUAUAGCUGUGUGUACAUGUAAUCGUAAAGUGAAAACGGGAAUGUAUGAUGUGCGAUGUGAUCGGCGGUGCUUUUGAGUUAAUUAGUGAGAGGAACUCCCUGCAUGAAAAUUCAAUGUAAUGAUUAACGUGUAACGCACCUGAUCAGCUUGUUCUAGGCGUGCAGCUUCCUGCCCUUUGGCAUACAUUCUCAGGUACAUUUGUUUAUUUCUUUCUUCUUGCUCGUUUAACAAAGCCUUUUGUUCAGAAAGUUCCGUUUUCACGGUUUCUAGUUCCGCUUCUAAUUCACGAGCACGGGUUUCUG